UAUUCGAUUCACCGACCGGGACUCAGAGGGACUUAUGUCACCAAAAACAGCAAAGAUCUGAGUACUGAAUACAUAGAGUACAUUCCUUAUAUAGCACUGUAGCUCUUCCCAUAAUUAGCUACGCCCACACAUUCCCUUAACCUAAUCAAUGAAUAGAGUCUAAACUCAUCCAUCCGGUCUAACCACGUGGCUCAUCUGAAAC